rnacentral:misc_RNA from 1 species
AGAGAGAGAGAGAGAGAGAGGAAACUGGGCUUUCGUUUUUUCUCUUUUGUUUAGGGAAUAAUAAUUUUGGGCACUGUACAGAGUAAGGCAGAGAGAUGGGUAAAAGUGAAAAAAAAAAUUCCUUAAUCAAGGAGGACAUGAAGAAUGUUUUAACAGAGACAAAAAUAAUGAAAAAAAAGGUGAAAAAUUGGAAAUUUACCCAUUUCUUUGUGGCCCUGGUCUUAUCAGGGAACUAAAACUUGCAACAACAUAAGAAUCUGAAUUCUGGCUAAAAAGGAGAAAGGAAAUGAAAUUUUAAUCCUGGUUGUGUAUUUCUUGCUGUUUCCUUAUUUGUUAAUUGUAUUUUUCUUUGGAAAUUUGUGAAUUUGGUUUUCUUCUGCUGGGAAAUCAGCUUCAGUCAUGAGAUCAAAGGGCAAAUGGCACGCGACAUACUUUUGUGUCGUUUCGUUAUACAUAGCACGUUAAAAAGGGUUUUCACGCUUCAUAUUGUAAGUGGAAUGAUUUUUUUUGUUUUUUGUGUUGGGAUUUUACGGACAAAAAUAUGGUGGAGGUUUUGGUUUAAAGCAGUUUAUAGUUGCUUUUGCAGUUACCAGUUGGAGAUGAUAAUGCAGUUCAAGGACCAUAAAUUGGACUUUUAUAGCCAUUAGCUUUACCAUAAACUACCCAACAAUCAACCAACUCCUCUCUAAUCACAACGGCUCUGCACCUCUUUUUGCCAAAGAUUAACUUGUACUAGUUUCAAACAGACUGUAUUUCCUCAAGGCAUUAAGCAUUUCAUAGGUUGACCUU